GCUGUGGAACUCCUACGGGAGGCAGCAGUGGGGAAUAUUGGACAAUGGGCGCAAGCCUGGUCCAGCCAUGCCGCGUGAGUGAUGAAGGCCCUAGGGUUGUAAAGCUCUUUUGUGCGGGAAGAUAAUGACGGUACCGCAAGAAUAAGCCCCGGCUAACUUCGUGCCAGCAGCCGCGGUAAUACGAAGGGGGCUAGCGUUGCUCGGAAUCACUGGGCGUAAAGGGUGCGUAGGCGGGUCUUUAAGUCAGGGGUGAAAUCCUGGAGCUCAACUCCAGAACUGCCUUUGAUACUGAAGAGCUUGAGUUCGGGAGAGGUGGGUGGAACUGCGAGUGUAGAGGUGAAAUUCGUAGAUAUUCGCAAGAACACCAGUGGCGAAGGCGGCUCACUGGCCCGAUACUGACGCUGAGGCACGAAAGCGUGGGGAGCAAACAGGAUUAGAAACCCGGGUAGUCCUACCACGU
rnacentral:rRNA from 1 species